UAAAUGCAUGCCCAUACUCUAAUGGGCGAACGUACGCAAAUGUAGAAUAAGCAGAAAACGUCAUACGAACACAUGCCUUACGCGCCAUAUUUUUCGAAUUAGAUAUAAAUAAUUAAAGACAAUGUUUCUGAGCUUUCCUCUUGUUUCGCUUUUACCGUAAGAAUAUUCAGCUUCUUCGCGAAGUGAUGGUUAGGCUUAGGUGUAUGGCCGUCAUAACCUACAUCCAUUAAGCUUUUGUUUCUGAAGCCAUCUUGAAUAUAUGGUGUAUUCAACGCAGGUGGAAUCUGCGAAGACGGAUACAAAGUAGAUUUAAAACUAUUUGAAGAAUUCUUGGUAUUUUCGAGCGGCUGCCUAUAAUUCGAGAGCUAAGAUAUAAGCGAAUAUCACGUAAGAAACACAAGAAAUCACGAAAUUAACAUAUCACCGGUGAUCUCCUCGUGUCAUAGUUUGAACGUUUUACAAGUAAGAGUGACGGUUCAGAGCGUUAUAACAAAGAAGGUGUUGAGCGCUGAUUUGGGAGAGUGUUUAUACUAAGAGGUUAUCGAUGGAUUUAUUUACACUGGUAUGGGCAUUCUGUUACACUCUGUGGAUAUUCUGUUACUAUCACAUUUAUGGUGCCGAUGACUAUAUCAAACAGGAAGUUCCCCUUACCAUAUUACUGCUUAUGUCUGGAAUUACGAUACCUUUCGAAUAUUUCUUAAUUGCUUUAUCUGUGUGUAGGUAUACCUACGUGUAGGUUUGCCUCCGGAACUAUGGGCAUGCCUUUAUGACUCAUCCUGUGUAACGUAAAGAUCAACAAUUGUUUGUUUUAAGUUAAUCAAAACAAUUUUGAUUAAACCAAUUUCAAUGAAAAAAUAUUUUGCCUACUAAACAUCCCACACAUACGGUAUAGGUAUUAUUUUCAUUCUAUCUUACUUUUAUCAGAUAACCAUCAAAGAGUAUUUAAUCACCAUAUAAUAUACCAUAAUAUAUACCAGUAACACGUUAUUGGAAUAAUUGAAUUUUUCAUAUAAUAGAAUAACUUUGUCUUCACAUGAAAAAAUAAUACUAAUUUUCAACUGACUUGUUAAUAUUAAUAAUAAGAAAAAACAAAGACACAAAUAUAAAACAAAAUUACAAUAAAAAUAUAACAAUU